CGCUUGGUGGUCUUAUGCUAAGUAAAUUCUGCUCGGUGAAAAUGAUUUAACAGCAGCGGUAUCUUGACCGUUCAAAGGUAGCAUAAUAAGUUUAGUAAUUGUAAACCUGUCAAUGGGACCAUGGGUUUAUUUAAAUAAGAACUUAAUUAUUAUUGAAAUUAACUAAAAAGUAAAAAUUCUUUUUCUUUUUUAAAAGACGAUAAGACCCUAGAACUUUUUAAAAAAUUUAGGUGGGGAAUCUUUGAUUAUUUAACAAUCAACAGUAAAAGUACUCUAGGGAUAACAGCUUCAUUUUAAAGAGUCUUUAAAGUUUGAGACCUCGAUGUUGAAUUAAGGACAUUGGUUUUUCAAAAGAAAGCUAAUUUAGGUCUGUUCGACCUUAGCCCCUU
rnacentral:rRNA from 1 species